GAGCGAAGAGAGGGUUUAUCGGGAAUGAUUCGUCGUCGUUCUCUUGGAGGGGUAGUAAUAGUAAUUAUUGUAUUAAUUGGGGGCACUUUGGGCAUAAAGGUCAUAUUAAUGGGGUAAAAAGGAAAAGUGCGGAGAAAGUCUGUACUGAUUGGGUAUAAGGGAAUUGAGAUUUUGGUGAAUGUGUCAGUGCAAUAUUUGCUUUCUUGGGAGCUUUGGUGAUUGGUUGACUCAAUGUGAUUCUUUAGUGUUUUGUGUAAGCGUUUUUGUGGGUUUUGGAUUUGGUGGUUGAGUUUGAGGGUUUUGAUGGCAGCCGGUGAUGCAUUGCUAUCUGGGCCUGAUAAGCUUUAUACAGGGAGCAAGGAUGAGACUGUUAAGAGUUUGGGGUUUCCAGUCUGGACAGGCAUGGAAUAAACAAGUGUAUGCUUUGUUCGUGGGUAAUUACUUGUUCUUUGCCGGUGCGCAAUUUGUUUGCUUUGGUAUAAGGAAGCAGGGACAUUAAUAAUUGAAAGUAACCAUCCUUGGUCAUUUAUUGUGGUGGUAGGAGAGUUUGUGAUGAAAUAACUCGUCAAGGAAGAAUAUUGAUGCAGAGGCAAUAUACAUAGAUUUUAGUUGACAGCGAGGCGCUUGAGGCAAGAUGGUACUGCUCUAUUGUCAAUUUUCAGCUCUAUCUUGCGUUGAUUUUACUGUUCCAUUCCUUUGCAGGCAAAACGG